GACGAACGCUGGCGGCAUGCCUAAUACAUGCAAGUCGAGCGAACAGAUGAAGUGCUUGCACUUCUGACGUUAGCGGCGAACGGGUGAGUAACACGUAAGGAAUCUACCUAUAAGCGGGGGAUAACAUUCGGAAACGGGUGCUAAUACCGCAUAAUAUCUUCUUCCGCAUGGAAGAAGAUUGAAAGACGGCUCUGCUGUCACUUAUAGAUGACCUUGCGGUGCAUUAGUUAGUUGGUGGGGUAACGGCCUACCAAGACGAUGAUGCAUAGCCGACCUGAGAGGGUGAUCGGCCACAGUGGGACUGAGACACGGCCCAAACUCCUACGGGAGGCAGCAGUAGGGAAUCUUCCGCAAUGGGCGAAAGCCUGACGGAGCAAUGCCGCGUGAGUGAAGAAGGCCUUCGGGUCGUAAAACUCUGUUAUAAGAGAAGAACAAAUUGUAGAGUAACUGCUACAGUCUUGACGGUAUCUUAUCAGAAAGCCACGGCUAACUACGUGCCAGCAGCCGCCGCCG
rnacentral:rRNA from 1 species